UGCCCCAUGGCUAAGUUGGUCAAAGCGUCCGACUGUUAUCUCGGAGAUGAUCCAGUGCAUCGGAAGGUCGUCAGUUCGAGCCUGACUGGGGCAG
rfam:Stereum hirsutum FP-91666 SS1 unplaced genomic scaffold STEHIscaffold_9, whole genome shotgun sequence.